GAGUUUGAUCGUGGCUCAGAUUGAACGCUGGCGGCAUGCCUUACACAUGCAAGUCGAACGGCAGCACGGGAGCUUGCUCCUGGUGGCGAGUGGCGAACGGGUGAGUAAUGCAUCGGAACGUAUCCUGGAGUGGGGGAUAACGUAGCGAAAGUUACGCUAAUACCGCAUAUUCUGUGAGCAGGAAAGCGGGGGACCUUCGGGCCUCGCGCUCUUGGAGCGGCCGAUGUCGGAUUAGCUAGUUGGUGAGGUAAAGGCUCACCAAGGCGACGAUCCGUAGCAGGUCCUGAGAGGAUGAUCUGCCACACUGGAACUGAGACACGGUCCAGACUCCUACGGGAGGCAGCGAGG
rnacentral:rRNA from 1 species